GGAAAGAUUUUUCGGUCUGGGAUGGGCUCGCGGCCUAUCAGCUUGUUGGUGAGGUAAUGGCUCACCAAGGCGUCGACGGGUAGCCGGCCUGAGAGGGUGACCGGCCACACUGGGACUGAGACACGGCCCAGACUCCUACGGGAGGCAGCAGUGGGGAAUAUUGCACAAUGGGCGGAAGCCUGAUGCAGCAACGCCGCGUGAGGGAUGACGGCCUUCGGGUUGUAAACCUCUUUUAGCAGGGAAGAAGCGAGAGUGACGGUACCUGCAGAAAAAGCGCCGGCUAACUACGUGCCAGCAGCCGCGGUAAUACGUAGGGCGCAAGCGUUAUCCGGAAUUAUUGGGCGUAAAGAGCUCGUAGGCGGUUUGUCGCGUCUGCUGUGAAAUCCCGAGGCUCAACCUCGGGCCUGCAGUGGGUACGGGCAGACUAGAGUGCGGUAGGGGAGAUUGGAAUUCCUGGUGUAGCGGUGGAAUGCGCAGAUAUCAGGAGGAACACCGAUGGCGAAGGCAGAUCUCUGGGCCGUAACUGACGCUGAGGAGCGAAAGGGUGGGGAGCAAACAGGCUUAGAUACCCUGGUAGUCCACCCCGUAAA
rnacentral:rRNA from 1 species